rnacentral:lncRNA from 1 species
AUGGACAAAAACAGAAAAAAUGAUGUCACAAUAUUUUUUAUUAUUUUUCAGUCUUUGAGCGAUUGCAGUAUGACUCCAUUUCCCUGGUGCAUUCAUAUAAUAGUUCACUUGGUGAAAAUAAUGAAGACUAUUUACAAUGCUACCCUGCUUUUUCUGAUGUCCUACACCUGGAAGUUGUGCUUUUUAAGGUACUUCACUCAAGCAGGUGACACCCAAGGGGAGUAGACGGACCAGAAACAAGAGUGCCACAUAGAAGGAAGAGAGGGGACCUUGGACCUUAGCUACUGGUUAGCUAUUCAACUUUGAUGAUAUUCAGCAUUUUCCCAAGUUAUUCUUUCUCACUUCUCAUCACAUAAUUUACAUUAUGUAUACUAUGUGCCGGAGACUGUUAGUGCUUGACAUGUAGUCAGUUAAUUUUCACAACUGUGUAAAGUAGGUUUCUAUCAUUAGCUCUAUCUUAGGGCCAAAGAAAUGGAAGCACAGAGAGGUUAAAUUGUAUUCCUAAAGCACUACACAGUUAGCAAAUAGAUUCAGACCUGUGCAGUCUAACCCAGAAUUAGCUCUGAAUCACUCUACCAUUUUGUCUACAGGACGACAAGCCUGUGUGUUUCAGGCACUCUCAUGGUGAUUUUUCACACAGGACAGCUUUCGAUAAUAGAAAGGCCCUCUCUUUCAAAUGAAAGGACUUCACUGAUGGAUUAACAAAUUCUCACCCAUUCACCUAUGUGAGCAAAAUACUAGAUCUACUUUCUUAGUCUUCAUAACAAGCAGGACGAUAACCAUAAUUUAUAAUGAAUACAAAACAUUGAUUUAGUGUUCAAAGAACUUUUGCACACUUGUUCUCAUUUAGAAGAGUGAAGUAAUCUGGAGACAUAGAAUAGGCAUUCACUUUGGCUUUAGGAAGAACUUUCACAAAAUCAGAGGUUGCCCUACGUAAUACCACACUUUUUACCUUGAGCAGGUGGAUAGCUUGGGGGUUCCAUUAUACCUCAAUCUUAGUCCAUUCUAUUUGUUCCCCUGCCCUUCAGCAAUGCCUUUAGACUUGCUUUAAACAUUAACCGCAUUCGUAAGCAUGGUAUCUAGGGUCAGAACCCAGCCUCCCUCCACCCACCCAGCUCCCUACAUACCUUGACAGUGCUCUUUGAGAUGCCUCAGUUCUAGUCUCCUUGUAAUUGUGCAAGGUAGAUGUCUGAACAAAUAGACCAGAGUCCUGCAAAAGUGAUCU